UCCCCAAGGCAUAUUAUACAUUCAUAAUACUAUGUGAGUGCAACUGUUUAUGUGCGUUUGUGUGUGUGAGGCUGUGUUUGUACUUGAAAUACCUGCCACGAGUUAUAAAUUAUCUGCACGAAAGCAGUAUGUACAAGUAUGUUUAUAUAUAUGUGUGUGUGUGUGUGUGUGU